GACCGAUAGUGAACCAGUACCGUGAGGGAAAGGCGAAAAGAACCCCGGCGAGGGGAGUGAAAAAGAACCUGAAACCGUGUACGUACAAGCAGUGGGAGCACAGGUUUACCUGUGUGACUGCGUACCUUUUGUAUAAUGGGUCAGCGACUUAUAUUCUGUAGCAAGGUUAACCGAAUAGGGGAGCCGGAGGGAAACCGAGUCUUAAUUGGGCGUUAAGUUGCAGGGUAUAGACCCGAAACCCGGUGAUCUAGCCAUGGGCAGGUUGAAGGUUGGGUAACACUAACUGGAGGACCGAACCGACUAAUGUUGAAAAAUUAGCGGAUGACCUGUGGCUGGGGGUGAAAGGCCAAUCAAACCGGGAGAUAGCUGGUUCUCCCCGAAAGCUAUUUAGGUAGCGCCUCGUGAAUUCAUCUCCGGGGGUAGAGCACUGUUUCGGCUAGGGGGCCAUCCCGGCUUACCAACCCGAUGCAAACUGCGAAUACCGGAGAAUGUUAUCACGGGAGACACACGGCGGGUGCUAACGUCCGUCGUGAAGAGGGAAACAACCCAGACCGCCAGCUAAGGUCCCAAAGUCAUGGUUAAGUGGGAAACGAUGUGGGAAGGCCCAGACAGCCAGGAUGUUGGCUUAGAAGCAGCCAUCAUUUAAAGAAAGCGUAAUAGCUCACUGGUCGAGUCGGCCUGCGCGGAAGAUGUAACGGGGCUAAACCAUGCACCGAAGCUGCGGCAGCGACGCUUAUGCGUUGUUGGGUAGGGGAGCGUUCUGUAAGCCUGUGAAGGUGGCCUGUGAGGGUUGCUGGAGGUAUCAGAAGUGCGAAUGCUGACAUAAGUAACGAUAAAGCGGGUGAAAAGCCCGCUCGCCGGAAGACCAAGGGUUCCUGUCCAACGUUAAUCGGGGCAGGGUGAGUCGACCCCUAAGGCGAGGCCGAAAGGCGUAGUCGAUGGGAAACGGGUUAAUAUUCCCGUACUUGGUGUUACUGCGAAGGGGGGACGGAGAAGGCU
rnacentral:rRNA from 1 species